rnacentral:rRNA from 2 species
GGGGUUCAUAGUAGUGGGGGAAGCACGGGGAACUCGUAUUAAUACCGCAUACGACCUACGGGAGAAAGGGGGCAGUUUACUGCUCUCGCUAUUAGAUGAGCCUAAGUCGGAUUAGCUAGAUGGUGGGGUAAAGGCCUACCAUGGCGACGAUCUGUAGCUGGUCUGAGAGGAUGAUCAGCCACACCGGGACUGAGACACGGCCCGGACUCCUACGGGAGGCAGCAGUGGGGAAUAUUGGACAAUGGGGGAAACCCUGAUCCAGCCAUGCCGCGUGUGUGAAGAAGGCCUUUUGGUUGUAAAGCACUUUAAGCAGUGAAGAAGACUCCAUGGUUAAUACCCAUGGACGAUGACAUUAGCUGCAGAAUAAGCACCGGCUAACUCUGUGCCAGCAGCCGCGGUAAUACAGAGGGUGCAAGCGUUAAUCGGAAUUACUGGGCGUAAAGGGAGCGUAGGUGGCUCUAUAAGUCAGAUGUGAAAUCCCCGGGCUUAACCUGGGAACUGCAUCUGAAACUGUAGAGCUAGAGUAUGUGAGAGGAAGGUAGAAUUCCAGGUGUAGCGGUGAAAUGCGUAGGGAUCUGGAGGAAUACCGAUGGCGAAGGCAGCCUUCUGGCAUAAUACUGACACUGAGGCUCGAAAGCGUGGGUAGCAAACAGGAUUAGAUACCCUGGUAGUCCACGCCGUAAACGAUGUCUACUAGUCGUUGGGUCCCUUGAGGACUUAGUGACGCAGCUAACGCAAUAAGUAGACCGCCUGGGGAGUACGGCCGCAAGGUUAAAACUCAAAUGAAUUGACGGGGGCCCGCACAAGCGGUGGAGCAUUGGUGGUUUAAUUCGAAUGCAACGGCGAAGAACCCUUACCUUGGUUCUUUGACAUAUCUAGAAUCCCUGCAGAAAGAUGGCGGGGGAGGUGCCCUUCCGGAAUUAAGAAUAAACAGUGCCUGCAUGGGCUGUUCGUCAGCCUCGGUGUUCGUGGAGAAUGUUGGGGUUAAGGUCCCGCCAACCCGAAGCGCAACCUUGUCCUUUAGUUUACCAGCGGGGUUAAGCCCGGGAACUCCUAUGGAUACCUGCCCGA